UACGGAGGGAGCAAGCGUUACUCGGAAUUAUUUGGGCGUAAAGGGCGCGUAGGCGAUUUGAAAAGUCUUGUGUGAAAGCCCCGAGCUUAACUCGGGAAGUGCACAAGAAACUGCCUGGCUUGAGUUCGGGAGAGGGAAGCGGAAUUCCGGGUGUAGCGGUGAAAUGCGUAGAUAUCCGGAGGAACACCGGUGGCGAAGGCGGCUUCCUGGACCGACACUGACGCUGAGGCGCGAAAGCUAGGGGAGCAAACGGG
rnacentral:rRNA from 1 species